CUGACCGACUCCUAGUAGCCGCGGGACUGGUGUGUUUUCGAGCUGAAGCCCCGGUCAGAAGAGAAGACCAGGUCGAACUGGCAGCUCCUUCAGGGGGUACAGUAACUGCAGGGCGGCCCGCUUCCGGCAGAACUCCAGCACAAUGAUGCUACUGAGGCAACGCCCACAGAGAACAGGAAUUUCCGUGUUACCAGUCACUGACCGAGCUAGACAAUGAAGUGUUUAAUCUAUGUGGCGUGUACAGUUAAGACGCGAGGUUAGAUAAAGAUCUGGUCCUCAGCACUCCGAGUUUCGACAGUGUAUACAAGGCGAGGGCGCAAAAAGACAGCGAUUCCCCCAGAGCCAAUAGCAAGCACAGCAGCGGAGAGAGCAGAGGCUGGUGGUGACACUCGCGUCUCAGUGCGCCCCGGGACGCCCAGGCAGGGAGGACAGACUCAGAAGACUCGUUUCAUCGUGUUUGAUGCAUCCUUUCUCAUUUCACCUCGCUUCGGACCCCACACUAAACACAAUCUUCUGCUUACCACACGUUCAUGCAAACGCGUGAAAACAAAGCCAACAAUAACGACAGCGGUAUCAACAACUGUGUUAGUAGCAGCGCUUUGCUCACCUGAGCUUUUAAUGGAAAGUGUUGUGUUCAUCGCACUUCAGAGCUCUUUAUUUUUUGGGGAAUCCACAGAUUUUAAUAUGAAAUAAAAUCGACACUUAAACAUAUUGUUUUACUAUACCCAUUAACCACGCUUGGGUGUUAACUGUUUAUUAGUCAAGAUCAAGGUUAAAUCGGUUUCUUGAACUCUGUCAUUGGUGUAAGGAAACAAUUAUUAAUACUUAUAUGCAUUAGGAUAUUUGGAUGCUGAACCAUUGUGUACUUCAGCUUGGAAUUGUAUGAGUAACGAGCUCCUAAAAUUACUAUGAUUCAUAUAUGAAGUUCUGACUGUUCUUGAUUAUUGCUUCUUUUCUCAAGCGUGUAAAAGGAGGACAGCACUCAUUCACUCUCUGCGGGAGUCCAGACUGACCUACAGUACUCCGUUGCAGGUCUUCAUCGCCUCGGAACGGUUAGUAGUUGGACAGGAACUUUCUUGCAGUUAUUAAAAUCCAUUCCAGGUAUCCCUAAUGAAGGAAAUUGGCACAGCAAAUUUAUGAUUCACGACUAAUGAGGAAUGGAAGUCGCAAUAAUAAUAAACUUUAUUUUAUAUAGCGCCUUUAAAGGUGGCCUCUCAAUAGGAGCGGUAGCGAAAAUUCAACUCGAGAGCUACUCAUUUCUUGUUGGUUUUCUUUCUGUUUGUCUCGUGGUUUACAGUGACUUGACUAUGUGUUUAGUAAAAUGGCACGCGUAUCAUCUCGAAAGUCUGCGGAGGUCGAUGGAUUAAAGCGGUGGUGCUCUUCUAUUGUAAAGUCCCUAGAGCCACGGUUUCUGUGGGUCUGCAUUUCACCUGAGCUCUAAGUUAUUAUAAUUUACUGUCAUUUUCAGUUCAAACGGACCGACAUAGACACCCUCCCCCUGUUUCUCAGUAGUUGUCUUAAACCACAGUGCAGCUCUCUGGAUCAGAUCCGUGUUGCUCCUGAGCUGAAACCUGCUUUUAGCGCCGAGGCAGGAGACCCACAGGGUCCGCGCGGGUUUCCGUCCUACUCUGAUCUCAAUUAUUAUCCCAACAAAUCAAUUGCUUGAUCUGUCAAGGGCCGUGUGAUCAUCGGCCACUGAUCUAAGGGCAGACUUUGCCCGCACUCCACACCAUUUAAAGUUUUGUUCGACUGUAGACAAAGCGGGUUACCUCCUUAGACGAAGACGCAGUCAAAUGGGUCAUUUUUUGUUCUGCAGAUUUUGUGUCGUUAAAGUAUCUUUCUCUUCUCGGCUUGCUGCGUUUUUUGUUUAUCAUUUAUGUCGAGCAGUGUUUUAUUUGCUGCGACAGCCUGUAUUUCUAGACAAGCAGGCUAACGCCGUGCAGGUACCAGAGCCCGUCCACGGGGUCUGGAAUCGAGAGGCCUUUCUUA
rnacentral:lncRNA from 1 species